ensembl:snoRNA
UCUGGCUCUGUUGGAAGGCUCUCUAGCUGUAUCCUGUAGCUGGCGGUGUCAAAGGGGAGCCGAAAGUGACUCUUCUGCCGACGGUCGCUGUUCAGUUUGACGGUGACUGAUACAGCAACAUUGUGGUAAAAGGACAUGC